rnacentral:rRNA from 1 species
GACGAACGCUGGCGGCGUGCUUAACACAUGCAAGUCGAACGCUGAAGCUCAGCUUUUGUUGGGUGGAUGAGUGGCGAACGGGUGAGUAACACGUGAGUAACCUGCCCCCUUCUUUGGGAUAACGCCCGGAAACGGGUGCUAAUACUGGAUAUUCGCUGGUCUUCGCAUGGGGGUUGGUGGAAAGGGUUUUUCUGUGGGGGAUGGGCUCGCGGCCUAUCAGCUUGUUGGUGGGGUGAUGGCCUACCAAGGCUUUGACGGGUAGCCGGCCUGAGAGGGUGACCGGUCACAUUGGGACUGAGAUACGGCCCAGACUCCUACGGGGGGCAGCAGUGGGGAAUAUUGCACAAUGGGCGCAAGCCUGAUGCAGCGACGCCGCGUGAGGGAUGGAGGCCUUCGGGUUGUGAACCUCUUUCGCUCAUGGUCAAGCCGCAACAAUGGUUGUGGUGAGGGUAGUGGGUAAAGAAGCGCCGGCUAACUACGUG